GUGGGGAAUAUUGGACAAUGGGCGCAAGCCUGAUCCAGCAAUACCGCGUGUGUGAAGAAGGCCUUAGGGUUGUAAAGCACUUUCAAUAGGGAGGAAAAAGAAGUAGCUAAUACCUGCUUUAUUGACAUUACCUAUACAAGAAGCACCGGCUAACUCCGUGCCAGCAGCCGCGGUAAUACGGAGGGUGCAAGCGUUAAUCGGAAUUACUGGGCGUAAAGCGUGCGUAGGCGGCUCGUUAAGUCAGAUGUGAAAGCCCUGGGCUCAACCUGGGAACUGCAUUUGAAACUGGCGAGCUAGAGUUGAGUAGAGGUAAGUGGAAUUUCAGGUGUAGCGGUGAAAUGCGUAGAUAUCUGAAGGAACACCAGUGGCGAAGGCGACUUACUGGACUCAAACUGACGCUGAGGUACGAAAGCGUGGGUAGCAAACAGGAUUAGAAACCCUUGUAGUCC
rnacentral:rRNA from 1 species